AACGAACGCUGGCGACAUGCCUAACACAUGCAAGUCGAACGAUUGCCUUCGGGUGAUAGUGGCGCACGGGUGCGUAACGCGUGGGAAUCUGCCCUUAGGUUCGGAAUAACAGCUGGAAACGGCUGCUAAUACCGGAUGAUAUCGCGAGAUCAAAGAUUUAUCGCCUGAGGAUGAGCCCGCGUUGGAUUAGGUAGUUGGUGGGGUAAAGGCCUACCAAGCCGACGAUCCAUAGCUGGUCUGAGAGGAUGAUCAGCCACACUGGGACUGAGACACGGCCCAGACUCCUACGGGAGGCAGCAGUGGGGAAUAUUGGACAAUGGGCGCAAGCCUGAUCCAGCAAUGCCGCGUGAGUGAUGAAGGCCCUAGGGUUGUAAAGCUCUUUUACCCGGGAAGAUAAUGACUGUACCGGGAGAAUAAGCCCCGGCUAACUCCGUG
rnacentral:rRNA from 1 species